UACGUAGGGUGCAAGCGUUAAUCGGAAUUACUGGGCGUAAAGCGUGCGCAGGCGGUUAUUUAAGACAGAUGUGAAAUCCCCGGGCUCAACCUGGGAACUGCAUUUGUGACUGUAGAGCUGGAGUACGGCAGAGGGGGAUGGAAUUCCGCGUGUAGCAGUGAAAUGCGUAGAUAUGCGGAGGAACACCGAUGGCGAAGGCAAUCCCCUGGGCCUGUACUGACGCUCAUGCACGAAAGCGUGGGGAGCAAACAGG
rnacentral:rRNA from 1 species